rnacentral:rRNA from 1 species
UUUAAAGUCUGGCCUGCUCAAUGAAUAUUAAAUAGCCGCAGUAUAUUGACUGUGCAAAGGUAGCAUAAUCAUUAGUUUUUUAAUUGAAAGCUGGAAUGAAUGGUUUAAUAAGAAAAAUUCUGUCUCAUUUUUAAGUUUAAAAUUUUAUUUUUAAGUUAAAAAGCUUAAAUUUAUUAAAAAGACGAGAAGACCCUUUAGAGUUUUAUAAGAAGAAAUUGAUUAUUAUUAGGAUUAUAAAUUUAAAAUUGGUUUUUAUUAUUUUAUUGGGGUGAUAUAAAAAUUUAAGUAACUUUUUAUUUAUUUAAUCAUUAAUUUAUGUGUAAAUGAUCCUGAUUUUUGGAUUAUAAGAAUAAUUACCUUAGGGAUAACAGCGUAAUUUUUUUUGAGAGUUCUUAUCGAAAAAGAAGUUUGCGACCUCGAUGUUGGAUUAAAAUUUAGUUUUGGCGUAGAAGUUAAAAAUUUAGGUCUGUUCGACCUUUAAAAUUUUACA